GGUGGCGGCUAUACUGGGCUUGUUCCACCUGAUCCCAUUCCGAACUCAGAAGUGAAAUAGCCCAAGGCCGAUGAUAGUUCCUGCUUUUUUGCGGGAGCGAAAGUAGGUAGCCGCCACCA
rnacentral:rRNA from 1 species